UCCGCAGGGCGAAACUGCUGGGCUGC
rnacentral:piRNA from 1 species